rnacentral:rRNA from 1 species
UACCAGCACCCCGAGUGGUCGGGACGUUUAUUGGGCCUAAAGCAUCCGUAGCCGGUUCUACAAGUCUUCCGUUAAAUCCAGCUGCUUAACAGAUGGGCUGCGGAAGAUACUAUGGAGCUAGGAGGCGGGAGAGGCAAGCGGUACUCGAUGGGUAGGGGUAAAAUCCGUUGAUCCAUUGAAGACCACCAGUGGCGAAGGCGGCUUGCCAGAACGCGCUCGACGGUGAGGGUUGAAAGCUGGGGGAGCAAACCGG